AUGUCCGAAGCCUUGGAGGAUGCACCGGCCCCGCCACUUCCCCCGAUGCUGCCCCCUCCACCCCCUCUUCUUUCGCCCCCCGCCACUGGGCUGCAAGGACCACAACUUCUGAAAGCUGCCUUGGAACAAACUGAUCCUGGGGACCAUGAUGGGAUUCAUGAGCUCCUGAAGCGCAGGAAAGCCAGCUUCAGUGAGCAUUUAAAGUGGCUUCUUUUCAACAACCCUGUGCCUUCCUUAAUCCAGGAGGGUCCCCAGUGUGGUCUGGUUGCCCUAUGGAUGGCUGGUGCCUUGCUUUCUCUGCCCAGAGCGGUUUCUUUCGGGAGAAUUGUGCAGGUGGCUUUGGAAAGAGGCUAUACGGCUCAGGGGGAAAUGUUCUCAGCGGCUGACAUGGCCAAAUUGGCUGGGGAGGUGUUUCCUUGCCAAACGGAGCUGCUGUCGGGAAAGCUGGAGGGAGAGAACCGCGAAAGGAUCCUUCGACAUCUAAGUGCUGGCUUCCCUGUGCUCAUCCCGUAUCCUUGGAAUCUGGUUGAAUACAGGGUAUCGGGGAGGUGAUUUGUUCAUGUUUCAGAAGAAUUGAGGAGAGCUUUGCUUGGUCUGAAGCGUGGCUUCCAGCUCCCUCCUUGCCAGGAAGACAAAGAGAUCCCGGGACUCUUCCACGCCAGCCCUUCUGCGUCGUCCUUCCCUUUGGAUGCAGUGGCCGAAACAUAUUUGCUUUCCAAGCAGGGCAAGAGCUGCCGCUAUCAGCUGUGGAGCUACACUCUGCUGCAAGAGAGCAAUGCCCAGCUAACGGACUUCAGCCCCAAAAGGGCAGCGGAUGGCAAGGUUUAUAUUGUGCCUGCAGGCGGUGUGCGGGAGGGGCUGUGUGGAAAGGCAGUGCUGCUGCGGCCUGGAGGAUCAGAGAUCCACAAGCCGCGCUGAAUGGUCAUCACUGGAAGGGUGAAUGGGAUGCUUUCCAAAGUUAUGGACAACUGUGGCCUUAACAGGAGUUUGGAUUGGUUUUUUUUAAGGACACAGAAUUUUUAAGGCUACAGAAUCAUGUAAACCCCCCCCCCCCCCCCCCCGAGUGCCUUCGGGGAGAUGGAGGUGGGAUAUAAAAAUAAAGUUGUUGUUAUUAUUAUUAUUAUUAUUGAGGACAGCAACUAUGAGAAAAGUGGGAUGGGAUUGCCUUUUUGUAGGGUUUUAAAAAAUAAUUUGCUUUCAAGUUGUUUUCUGUCCUGUGUCAGCCCUAAGGUAAAUCUCCCACAAUGUUUCUUCAGCAAGAUAUGUUCAGAAGAGAUUUCCUCUGAGAGUCUGAGUCGCUCAAGGUUACCCAGUAAGUUUCCACGGCCAAGCAAGGAAUUUGAACCCUGGUCUGCCGGUGACCUAGUCCAACAUGCAACCCAUUACGCCACACUGUCUGCCUUUAUUCCCCCUCAAGCACUGGGAUGUGUCAUUAAAGACAUACCAUUGAAUUGGAAUCAUCCGUGCAUGGUAUUUCAAAUGUCUGUAUGGUAGCAAUACGAUCCUUUGCUCACUUACCCCAGCAGACUCAGCAGGGAAACUCCAUGGUUGCUAGACAGGUUUUGUGAUCAUCUGGGAAGAAGAAAUGUUGACGUCUCCUCUGCUUUUCCUUCCUUCUCAAAAUAAAAUAGACUGUCUCUCAACUCAAAAACGGUGUAUGUUUUGUAAGAAGUUGAGAACAACUUGUUAUGAUUGAGCCUCAUGGCUCUGUUACUGACAGACGUGGGCGUAAGACUCCUCGGGAGUCAG
rnacentral:lncRNA from 11 species